CCUACGGGCGGCAGCAGUGGGGAAUAUUGGUCAAUGGAGGAAACUCUGAACCAGCAACGCCGCGUGAAUGAUGAAGGUCUUCGGAUCGUAAAGUUCUUUUCUAAGGGAAGAAGAUAGUGACGGUACCUUAGGAAUAAGCUUCGGCUAACUACGUGCCAGCAGCCGCGGUAAUACGUAGGAGGCAAGCGUUAUCCGGAAUGACUGGGCGUAAAGGGCGCGUAGGUGGUUUGGCAAGCUAGUAGCGUAACCCCGGGGCUCAACCUCGGAACUACUACUAAAACUGGCGGACUCGAGUGUAGGAGGGGAAAUUGGAAUUCCGGGUGUAGCGGUGGAAUGCGUAGAUAUUAGGAGGAACACCAGUGGCGAAGGCGAAUUGCUGGACUGUAACUGACACUGAGGCGCGAAAGCGUGGGGAGCAAACAGGAUUAGAUACCCUAGUAGUC
rnacentral:rRNA from 1 species